rnacentral:rRNA from 1 species
UACGUAGGGGGCAAGCGUUGUCCGGAAUCAUUGGGCGUAAAGAGCGUGUAGGCGGCCAGAUAAGUCCGCUGUGAAAUCUCGAGGCUCAACUUCGAGCUGUCGGUGGAAACUGUCUGGGUAGAGUCCGGAAGAGGAGAAUGGAAUUCCUGGUGUAGCGGUGAAAUGCGCAGAUAUCAGGAAGAACACCCGUGGCGAAGGCGGUUCUCUGGGACGGUACUGACGCUGAGACGCGAAAGCGUGGGGAGCGAACAGG